rnacentral:lncRNA from 1 species
ACUCUUCCCAUACCCAUGUAACAAUGGAACUCCCCAGUGGUUGGAGGCUCCCCGGUAGCAGUCUGGUCCAACAAGUGGUAUCAGAGCCGAUGGUUCGGCUGGGACAUGGUGGACUCAAGGGGGAGCGGACCGGUAGCAGUCUGGUCCAACAAUACAUUAAACAAACGUAAAUAACAUAAACCAAAAAGAAAUUUAGGUAAGCUGAUCAUCUAUGCAAAUAUAUAGAAACUAAA